rnacentral:rRNA from 1 species
UUUAGUUGGUUGAGCGAUUUGUCUGGUCAAUUCCGAUAACGAACGAGACUCUAGCCUACUAAAUAGUUCGGGGACCCCCACAAAGAGGCCCCGCUUUAACUUCUUAGAGGGACAGGUGGCGUUUAGCCACACGAGAUUGAGCAAUAACAGGUCUGUGAUGCCCUUAGAUGUCCGGGGCCGCACAUGCGCUACAAUGAACGGUUCAACGUGCUUUUUGCCUUGCCCGAGAGGGCUGGGAAAUCCGCUGAACCCCGUUCGUACCAGGGAUUGGGGAUUGCAAUUGUUCCCCAUGAACGAGGAAUUCCCAGUAAGCGCGAGUCAUUAGCUCGCGUUGAUUACGUCCCUGCCCUUUGUACACACCGCCCGUCGCUAA